rnacentral:snoRNA from 1 species
AGACCGUGAUGUAGGCAUAUCCUUAAUAGCUCAUUGAACCUUUCCCAUUUCUCGUACAAGGAUUCCCCGUCUUCUUAAUAGUAGGUGUUAAUCUCAGUCAUGAGUUU